UCCCGCGGUCACGGGGAAGGGUUGGGUGUAGGGAGCGGUGGCUAGGAGGGCUGUGCAGCCGAGUUGUGGCAAAGGGUGGCUGGUCCCGGAGCAACGGGAAACUGGCUCGAAUGCUGCUGUAACUUGACCGCAGAGCUAGAGAAUGGCCAAACUGGGCAUUUAAUCCAAGCAGUCUUCAUCCAAGAGCUCUCCAUCCUGCAGGACGAACUCAGCCCGUCAUCUGCUUCCCCCCUAAUUCAGCAGUUCUCAGAGAGGAAAUGGCAGCCACGUGCUUUCUCAUCACCCUCAGCUGAAGACAGCCUUGAAAAGCAAGAUGCUCUGGGCAGGACGGGAACUCUUCAGCCCAGGCUAGUUGGUUCCAGCUACCCCCAAAAACAUUCUCCAAAGGUAGCAGUUAAAAAAAGAAAAAGACAUGUCAGGAACUAUUGCUAUGCAGAUGGUCUUUCCUGAUAUGACCAUUCAGUGAA